rnacentral:piRNA from 1 species
UGCCCUCUUCUGGCCUGCAGAAACACAUG